rnacentral:rRNA from 1 species
GAUGAACGCUGGCGGCGUGCCUAAUACAUGCAAGUCGAGCGAACGGACGAGAAGCUUGCUUCUCUGAUGUUAGCGGCGGACGGGUGAGUAACACGUGGAUAACCUACCUAUAAGACUGGGAUAACUUCGGGAAACCGGAGCUAAUACCGGAUAAUAUUUUGAACCGCAUGGUUCAAAAGUGAAAGACGGUCUUGCUGUCACUUAUAGAUGGAUCCGCGCUGCAUUAGCUAGUUGGUAAGGUAACGGCUUACCAAGGCAACGAUGCAUAGCCGACCUGAGAGGGUGAUCGGCCACACUGGAACUGAGACACGGUCCAGGCUCCUAAGGGAGGCAGCAGUAGGGAAUCUUCCGCAAUGGGCGGAAGCCUGACGGAGCAACGGCGCGUGAGUGAUGAAGGUCUUCGGAUCGUAAAACUCUGUUAUUAGGGAAGAACAUAUGUGUAAGUAACUGUGCACAUCUUGACGGUACCUAAUCAGAAAGCCACGGCUAACUACGUG